rnacentral:rRNA from 1 species
GACGAACGCUGGCGGCGUGCUUAACACAUGCAAGUCGAACGGAAAGGCCCUGCUUUUGUGGGGUGCUCGAGUGGCGAACGGGUGAGUAACCCGUGAGUAACCUGCCCUUGACUUUGGGAUAACUUCAGGAAACUGGGGCUAAUACCGGAUAGGAGCUCCUGCUGCAGGGUGGGGGUUGGAAAGUUUCGGCGGUUGGGGAUGGACUCGCGGCUUAUCAGCUUGUUGGUGGGGUAGUGGCUUACCAAGGCUUUGACGGGUAGCCGGCCUGAGAGGGUGACCGGCCACAUUGGGACUGAGAUACGGACCAGACUCCUACGGGAGGCAGCAGUGGGGAAUAUUGCACAAUGGGCGGAAGCCUGAUGCAGCAACGCCGCGUGCGGGAUGACGGCCUUCGGGUUGUAAACCGCUUUCGCCUGUGACGAAGCGUGAGUGACGGUAAUGGGUAAAGAAGCACCGGCUAACUACGUG